CGCUCGGUAGCCAAGCUGGAAAGGCAUUCCGCUCAUAACGGAAAGAUGCGCAGGUUCAAGUCCUGCCCGAGCGA
rnacentral:tRNA from 1 species